GGCAAGCAGCAACAUCUAGAUUCUAGACCCAGUUAAAUCUGAUCUAAUCUUUAUAUAUAUAUAUAUUUUCUUCACAAGUGGAAACGACAGAAACGAACAGAAAUCAGAUGUAAGCAGCUUUCCACCAGAAAUGAGCGUUAGAGACAAAACAAACCAACAGAUCAUCCCAAAUAAUUUCUUCUAAUACUUGUUGACCGAACCAAGAAGAAAAUAAAUGACCUCGAUGCCAUCGUGGCGAUUAGAAGUUACGUGUGACGAUGACCAAAUGUCAUCGGAAGAUCAGAUUGCUGUUCCUUGUGACGACAAACGUCCAGCGUCUAGAUGUAACGUAAGUAAUUUAUCAUUCAAAGAGGUAGAAGAAUGGCUGGAUAGACAUCACGAAAUCGCAGCUGAUUACUUUCUUCAGAAAGUGGAUAUUACUUUUAUCAACCGAUGGCUGAUGACUCAUGGAUUUUUAUCCAUUCGCGAGUACAUCAGCUCACGACGGAACUCGGACACACUAGUCAUUAGUGAUGAACAGUCGCCCGUGGAAAAAACUUCCGGUUAUUUUAGUGACGGACCAGAACUAACGACAAGUCGACAUUUGAAGUCAAAAAAGUUCCUUCGCCAGAAUUUCGCUCGCUCAAAGAAGAAAAAUGUAUUUCGGAACUCCGAGCCAAUCAGCCAGAGCGCCGAUAGCCCAACCCAUGCGAGGAGAAACAGUCUCAGAGACUUCAGGAGGUUUCUUUCUCUACCAUCUCGAUCUAUUCACAUUCUAAAUCUCCUCAUUGAAUCCAAAGUUCGAAUCCCUCGACUACCUUCGAAAGGAGUUGAAUCAAAACGCGAACUUCGAUUUUUAAAUGAAAGACAAUUCUUCUUGGAAAGUGUUCAAGAAAUAGCCCAUGACCUAGAUGUUAAGAGUCUGACCCAAAAAAUUAUUACCAAUUUGGCAGUACUUUUGGACAGUGAUUGUGCAUCUUUAUAUGUUAUUGAAGGACCGAAAAACAGACGAAUGCUGGUCUCUAAGGUUUUCGAUGUGCACUGUGGGGCGGGUAUUUUCUUACCUGGUUCAGGAAAGGACGAUGAAAUCAAAGUUCCAUGGGGCACUGGAAUCAUAGGUCACGUAGCAAACACGGGGGAGACAGUGAAUCUAAGAGAUACCAAUGAGGAUCCAAGGUAUAAUGACGAAGUUGAUAAGAUACGUGGGUACAGAACAGACACGUUACUCUGUAUGCCCAUUAGAAAUGCUGAUGACGAGAUUAUUGGCGUUGCCCAAGUUCUAAACAAAAAUCUCCAAAAUAGCGAGCAGCAGUUCACGGAAGAAGACGAAAAGCUCGCCAAGGCGUAUUUAGAGUUUUGUGGAAUUGCCUUAACUAAUGCUCGUCUUUUUGAAAUGUCCCAGAAGGAAUACGAGAGAAACAGGUCGCUGUUAGAGGUUGUCCACGAUUUAUUCGAGGAGCAAACAUCUCUGGAAAAAGUUAUACUCAAAAUCAUGCAGAGGGCGCAACGUUUGGUGAAAUGUGAACGAGCAGCCGUUUUACUUCUCCAUGAGGGAGCUGAUAGCGAGAACGUGAAAUUUUCAAGGACAUUUGAGCUGACCUCUUCUCCUUUCAUUCCAUUCUCGCCAGAGAUAAGUUCUGUAUCAUCCACAAAACCUGAGAUUUCUUCAGGCCUUCUUCGUUUUGCCAAACGGGUUGCUGCAACAGGAGAAGUACUGAACAUUACCGAUCCUAAAAAGAUACCUGAGGGAUCUGGUCGUUACAUCCGGUCACUCUUGUGCAUGCCAAUCAGAGACAGGGAUUACAAGAUUAUAGGGGUCGCUACGAUAAUCAACCGAACUGAUGGUCUUGUUUUCGAUGAAAAUGACGAACAACUUUUCAAGGCUUUCACGUUAUUUUGUGGACUUGGAAUCAACAAUACGUUGAUGUACAGUGAACUGGAGAAAGCUAUGGCUCGCCAGAAAGUAGCAAUUGAGGUGAUUUCGUAUCAUGCUACAGCAGCUCCAAAAGAUAUCAAGAAACUUCUAAGUCGCCAUCUUUCGGAAGCCAAAGUUUUGCAGCUGACGAGUUUGAAGUUUGACGACUUCUCUUUGACAUCAGAUGAAAUGAUAAUAGCAUCUAUCCAGAUGUUCCGGGAUUUAGGGCUCUUGUCACGUUUCAAGAUUGAUGAGACUGUACUUUGUCUAUUUCUGACGACAGUGAGAAAAAACUACAGAAAUAUUUCGUACCACAACUGGCGGCACGCGUUUAAUGUUGCCCAAGUCAUGUUUGCAAUCCUUAUGAACUGUGGUCUAAACUCUAUCCUGGCGGAUCUGGAAAUCCUAGGGAUGAUGGUGGGAUGCCUGUGUCAUGAUCUUGAUCACAGAGGAACAAAUAAUGCAUUUCAACAAAAAAGCGGCUCAGCAUUGGCACUGCUAUACGGGAAUAAAGCUACUAUGGAACAACAUCACUUUAACCACGCUGUUAUGAUUUUGUCCAGUGAAGGUCACAACAUUUUCGCCACACUCUCUCCUGAUGAGUACAGCCGAGUUAUGAAUAUCCUGAAAAAUGCCAUCCUUGCCACUGAUCUCUCCACAUAUUUUCAACUUCGAAGCAGGUUCUUCACGCUGGUUGACAACGUGGAAUAUCGAUGGGAAGAAGAGGAACACCGAGAAGUUCUGAAGAGUAUGCUUAUGACAGCCUGUGAUCUGGGAGCCUGUACAAAACCGUGGCCGAUUCAACAAAAGGUUGCCAAACUUGUAACUGAUGAGUUUUUCGAUCAAGGUGACAAGGAAAAGCUGCAGUUAAAAAUUCAACCACAGGCCCUGAUGGACAGAGAAAAGAAACACGAACUUCCACAGAUGCAAGUGACCUGGAUUGACACAAUAUGUCUCCCGCUAUAUAAGGCCUUGUCUAAAGUCAACGCCGGUUUUAUGGAGAUGGUAGAGGGAGCUGUGGGUAAUCGAGAUAAAUGGAAAACUCUUGCCUCACAAAGAGCCAACCUGAUCAACGGAAAUGCGAAGAUAUACAGCAAGGACACUGCUGUAUAAUUAAGUACCGAAAACUAUUUCACUGUAAUUUGGGUGUUUAAUGCCAGAUUCUUUUUUCUUUUUCAUGUUUUUGUUGUUGUUGUUGUUAUUGUUGUUGCUCGAUUAAGCAGUUUUCACAAUGAGACAUUACUUUGAAUAUAUAUACAUGGACAGUUUAUCUGACACCUGUAAAAUUCAAAACGUGAACUCAUUUGAACUUCGCAUUUAAAAAGUUAAGCAGUUCAAGUAGACCUAUUGUUUACUAAAUUUAAUUGUGCUUUCAAUCAAUCGUGAGCAAAAUAAUCAUAUAUAUUUAUUAUGCACUGCAGUAAUUUUUGACAGAAGUCUUGCAUAAAUACGUUAUUACGAAGACUUUUAGAAUACUCUUGUGGUAUAUCUUUACAUUUCUUUUAUUUUUUCUGUCAGAGAAUGUGAAAAUUGUCAUAACAUUUUGGGAUACAAGCAGUUAAUUUUAGCAGCUUUAUUUUACUCUGUUUGACAUUUGUCCUUUUUGGAUUUGUUUCACUUAUAAAGAAAAAUAUUACAGGAGUCAGUUGAUCUGAAAGAUGAAAAGUUUUAUUAUAAUUUGAACGUUACGAGGUGAGCUGGAAGUAUUCUUAAUCACACCAAUGUAAUAUCUUAUGAAAUGUAUGCUUCUACUGAGAAGAGUAAGAAAGAAAAUAGAUAAAGUUCUUGAAAUAAGUGUCACCAAUAAAUAUUUUUGGUAGAUGUAAAGGUUCCAGAAUAUUAUAUAUACGUGUGUGAGUGUAUAUAUAUAACAAAAUACUGUAAUAUCAGGCUAUUUAAUGUUUUCCUCUCCAUUAUUAAUUUCUUCAGCCGAUUUGGUGAUAUCAAAGGCCACUCUUCCGAAUACAAAUUUACUGAGAAUUUGAUUGUCUUUUCUGAAGAAUGACCUUUCCUUUGAAAUCACGAAAACGGUUGAAGAAAUUAAGAAGGGAAUUAGAAAAAAAAAUUGAUAGUCUGAUAUUCCAGACAACUAUUAUAUUUGGUGAUAAUCCCUAUCCAGUGAUCCUGAAGUACGACUGUAUCCAUCAAGUGCUUACCACCAUGCACAGGUUUGCUGUUACUAAAUAUUCAAGACGUAUUUCCAUAAAAGUAACACACCGAAUCUAAAGUUCACAGUGAUAAUGAGUUAUUACAAACUAAAUUUUAUUUUAUUAUCACGAAUCCAUUGUGAGUAGUUCUUGAUUUGUUUAAACUAUUUCAUUUUUAUUAAUAUCUUAUCAACGUACAGGCGACAUAUUCAGUGUCGACAAUAUUACAGAAUAUAAGAUGCAUGCAAAGAACUUGUAAGUUUUCUAUCAAAGUUAUGAACUAGUUUAUUAGAUUAGUUUGUUAAUGAAAACAUAAAUCAUACUUGCUGCAUGUCCAGUUAUUUACUUUGAAAUUAUGAAAGUCUAAACUAAUGGUAACUUCUUUGAAUGUCUUUGUCAUAGAACAUAAGAUUGAGCUUGUAGAAUUUGUAUUAUUACGAUUAUGGAACCUACUAUUUUGACACUUUAAUGAAACAAAAAUAAUACGACAUUCUUCGUACAGCUUGCUGGUUACAAAAAUUUGCGUAUUUUUAUCAAAAAUUACUUAACAUAAAAUCCCAAAAUACUUCUAUUUCACAAAGUGGGACAGUUCGCCCCAGUUUUAGAGCUCUGGAUUUCGGAGCUGACGAAUCAGGAUCGAAUCCGUGCGAUACCACAAAAUAUUCCCCGCAAUACAAGUCGUGGGUACGUUAAAAGAAUGGCAGUUAAUCCCUUAGCGUAAAUGGUGGGUGGUAGGGUGUUGAUGACUGGCUGCUUUCUCUCUUGGCCCUUUGUUGCAAGAGAUGAAUGAUAAAAAAAUCUUAUAUUCUCAUGACUAAUAAAAACCUAAGUUGAUUAAUUUUCCAAUUUUACUAUGCAUGGUCACUAUCACGUGUGGGCCCGGCAUGGCCUGGUGGUUAGGGCGCUCGACUCGCAAUUUGAGGAUCGCGGGUUCGAAUCCCCGCCACAUCA